GACGACGCGGAAGAGCGGAAGCUCUGCGCGCGCCGUGACUUUCCAUUGGUUCUCUGGGCGGUGACCUACAAUGUGUCCGCCGAUUGGCCGCAGCUGGACCGCGCUGCCUUGUGAGGGAAAACAUCAAAUCCUACAUGUAUGGCUUCUAGAGGAAAAACUGCAAAGGCAUAAAGCCCCAACUACUUCUCCCGUGCCGCCAAGCCAAGCCUGCCUAAAUCUGACACAGGACCACGCUCCGUUACUUCUUGGAGAAGACCGGGACCACAAAGGGGUGUGACUCAGCAAGGCCCGAGAGGUG